UGGCCGCACCCACGCGGCGCAGCUCCCAAAGUUGCAGACAGCCCGGCGAACCGCGCAAUGCGCUUCUUCUGCCUGCAGCAGAGAAAAGGAAAGAAAACUCCGCAGGGGCUCCGUUGGCUUCUCCACGAGUGACAACCAUGUUUUCCCAGAUAGAAGACCGGAGCCCUGCUCCUUUGCGAUCCGCCGAGGGCUGCAGAGAGCAUCCUCAUCCAUUUGGGCACCCCUGCCCAGGAAGAGCCCGGCCAUCCCUUUCCGGACUGGAUCCUUAAGAGGUGAAUUUUCUUCCGUGGAUUCCGAUUUGCUCCGUCUGACCAGCCUAGGCAAUCCAGCAUCGCGUGGUACCAGUGCCGCUGGGCACACUGGCUUCACGCCGGCUCCGCCUCACCAGCAAGCGCAUUCCCAGGUAAAAAUUUUAAAUACCUUAGAAUUCUUCUGCCUAGACCCUCUAAUCAAGAAGUUUACCCACUUUUUCUGUAAGGAGCCAGAAAGCAAAUACUCUAGAAUUUGGGCCUGGAACUGUCUCUGUAGCGUAUUCGUCUUUGUUUUGAAAAUGUAAAAACCACUCUUAGCUGCUGGCCUUACAAAAAUAGAAUCAUGAGGACUGUGAAGAUUAGAGCCUAAUCACUAAUUCACCCAGCACAGAGGCUAGAGCGCCAGUGAGUCCUCCGCCCCUUCCCAGGCCCGACCAUAGUUUUGCAGUUAGGACCCAGGUUUUGUGAGGACUGGGACCCACCCAGGUUUAGUUCACAGUCUCUUGAAUCCCUCCCUGCACCUGCACCUCUGCUCCUCCCCCUAGGCCGGUGGCCCUUGGUGAGUUUCUGGCAGUCUCCUAGGCCACCAGGAAACACUCCGACCAACUGCCACGCCCUCCUUUGCUCCAAAAUGACAAGCUCUUUUCAUCUGGGAGCAAAAGCUGAAGUCCCCACAUUUGAACUAAAUUAGUUUAGUGUAAAAGUAGUACAAGAUUAUCUCAGACAAUUGUAUUUUAAUAGUAUUUUUUUCUAGUGAUAAAUGUAAUAUAUGUCUACUAUGGUCAUUUGGAAAAUUCUGAGACGUAUAGAGCAGAAAAGAAAUUCUCCAUAACCCUAACCCACAAAAAAUAA
rnacentral:lncRNA from 1 species